rnacentral:tRNA from 1 species
GGGGAGAUAGCUCAGUGGGUAGAGUGCUUGCCUCACAUGUAGAAAGUCCUGGGUUCAAUCCUCAGCAUCAUCA